rnacentral:rRNA from 1 species
GCAACUCGCCUGUAUGAAGUUGGAAUUGCUAGUAAUCGCGGAUCAGCAUGCCGCGGUGAAUACGUUCCCGGGCCUUGUACACACCGCCCGUCACACCAUGAGAGCCGGUAAUACCCGAAGUCAGUAUCCUAACCGCAAGGAGGGAGCUGCCGAAGGUAGGAUUGGCGAUUGGGGUGAAGUCGUAACAAGGUAUC